UACGAAGGGGGCUAGCGUUGCUCGGAAUCACUGGGCGUAAGCGCACGUAGGCGGAUUGUUAAGUCAGGGGUGAAAUCCUGGAGCUCAACUACCAGAACUGCCUUGAUACUGGCGGAUCUCGAGUCCGGGAGAGGUGAGUGGAACUGCGAGUGUAGAGGUGAAAUUCGUAGAUAUUGGGAAGAACACCGGUGGCGAAGGCGGCAUCCUGGACCGGCAUUGACGCGUGAGGCGCGAAAGCCAGGG
rnacentral:rRNA from 1 species